rfam:Candidatus Pacebacteria bacterium CG1_02_43_31 cg1_0.2_scaffold_2409_c, whole genome shotgun sequence.
GCCGGAGUGGCGAAAUGGUAGACGCGCACGUUUCAGGUACGUGUGGAGAAAUCUAUGGAGGUUCGACUCCUCUCUCCGGCA